GUUUUUUGUUGCUUUAGGUUUGUGGAGGAAGGUCAUACACGAUUGAUCGGUGAUGGCUUCCAGGGUUAUGGUUAUCGAUGAGGGUGAUGUCUCAAGGAGACAAGGACACGCUUCGCUUCUUUUCUAUGCUAAAGUCUUCAAGGGUUAUGGUUGACCCUUUUAUCAUGAGGGUGAUGUCUCGAGGAGACAAGGAGAAAAGGAGACAAGGACACGCUUCGCUUCUUCUCUGUCCUAAACGUUUUC